ACGAGCGUCAUUGUUCUUGUUUAACAAUCAGGAGACGCGCGGUAGCGCGUCUCCCUUUGAUAAACAACGAGGAAUUGAAAUGGUUCGAAGAGCGUUUCGAGUUCCAAGUGGAACGCAGCCACUGUAUCGUGUCGUAUAAAAGCGCGAAUAUGCAUCAGUUUCGUCAAGUAAACUCCGUGCGACCAUAGCGUUAUAUAUAUAGCAUGUGCAUUAAUUGGAAAUGUUCAAAUGUUCACGUAUAUACGAUUACGUACAUACAUGUAUAUAUUUUUUUCAUUUCUGUGGCUGACAUGGAGAAUUUUUCAAGAAAUUUAGAAUGGAUGAGGCAAACGGCAAUGUGAUAUUUAUCAUUUUUGCGACUGACAUGGAGCAUUUUUCAAGAAAUUUAGAACGGAUGAGGCAAACAGCAAUGUGAACGGAGGGUCAAAACACCAAGCCGUUUUACUAUCAAGGAAGAAUGUGAGUGCUUUGUUUUAUUUUAUUCCUUUACAUGAUUUUUCGCGCGAGAAAUAAGCACUUUUUAGGACAUUAAAAACUUAAAUUGUAGGAAUUAAACUGUAUUGUUAUUUUUAUAUUUGAUUGUGUUAUAAAUCUUAAUGCUCAAAGA